AGAGUUUGAUCAUGGCUCAGAGCGAACGCUGGCGGCAGGCUUAACACAUGCAAGUCGAGCGGGCGUAGCAAUACGUCAGCGGCAGACGGGUGAGUAACGCGUGGGAACGUACCUUUUGGUUCGGAACAACACAGGGAAACUUGUGCUAAUACCGGAUAAGCCCUUACGGGGAAAGAUUUAUCGCCGAAAGAUCGGCCCGCGUCUGAUUAGCUAGUUGGUGAGGUAACGGCUCACCAAGGCGACGAUCAGUAGCUGGUCUGAGAGGAUGAUCAGCCACAUUGGGACUGAGACACGGCCCAAACUCCUACGGGAGGCAGCAGUGGGGAAUAUUGGACAAUGGGCGCAAGCCUGAUCCAGCCAUGCCGCGUGAGUGAUGAAGGCCCUAGGGUUGUAAAGCUCUUUUGUGCGGGAAGAUAUGACGGUACCGCAAGAAUAAGCCCCGGCUACUUCGUGCCAGCAGCCGCGGUA
rnacentral:rRNA from 1 species